GAUGAACGCUGGCGGCGUGCCUAAUACAUGCCAGUCGAGCGAACAGAUGAGGAGCUUGCUCCUCUGACGUUAGCGGCGGACGGGUGAGUAACACGUGGAUAACCUACCUAUAAGACUGGGAUAACUUCGGGAAACCGGAGCUAAUACCGGAUAAUAUAUUGAACCGCAUGGUUCAAUAGUGAAAGACGGUUUUGCUGUCACUUAUAGAUGGAUCCGCGCCGCAUUAGCUAGUUGGUAAGGUAACGGCUUACCAAGGCAACGAUGCGUAGCCGACCUGAGAGGGUGAUCGGCCACACUGGAACUGGGACACGGUCCAGACUCCUGCGGGAGGCAGCAGUAGGGAAUCUUCCGCAAUGGGCGAAAGCCUGACGGAGCAACGCCGCGUGAGUGAUGAAGGUCUUCGGAUCGUAAAACUCUGUUAUUAGGGAAGAACAAAUGUGUAAGUAACUAUGCACGUCUUGACGGUACCUAAUCAGAAAGCCACGGCUAACUACGUG
rnacentral:rRNA from 1 species